GUCUCUAAAUGUUUUCAUUUUAAGCACAAUUGGAGUUAAGGCACAGUACCUUAAACUAACGCUAGAGGGCAGGCUGUUUAAGUAUCUAACACUUCUUGAACUCCACCUCUACCCUCCUGAUUUCACCUUGUG